UAGUCAGGACAUUCAUCUCCAGAUAGCUAGGUGGACCAGUCAUAGUCAGUACAUUCAUCUCCAGAUAGCUAGGUGGACCAGUCAUAGUCAGUACAUUCAUCUCCAGAUAGCUAGGUGGACCAGUCAUAGUCAGUACAUUCAUCUCCAGAUAGCUAGGUGGACCAGUCAUAGUCAGUACAUUCAUCUACAGAUAGCUAGGUGGACCAGUCAUAGUCAGUACAUUCAUCUCCAGAUAGCUAGGUGGACCAGUCAUAGUCAGUACAUUCAUCUUCAGAUAGCUAGGUGGACCAGUCAUAGUCAGUACAUUCAUCUUCAGAUAGCUAGGUGGACCAGUCAUAGUCAGUACAUUCAUCUACAGAUAGCUAGGUGGACCAGUCAUAGUCAGUACAUUCAUCUACAGAUAGCUAGGUGGACCAGUUAUAGUCAGUACAUUCAUCUCCAGAUAGCUAGGUGGACCAGUCAUAGUCAGGACAUUCA